AAAGUUACUAUAUGAAUUUAUAUUUCAGGUAUGGUGUAAGAAAUAGUUUGCUCGUUUCACCAAUGCCCACUGCUUCUACUGCACAAAUUCUUGGUAAUAAUGAAUCGAUAGAACCUUACACAAGUAAUAUUUAUGUAAGAAGAGUUUUAUCGGGGGAAUUUCAGGUUGUGAAUCAUCAUUUAAUGAAUGAUCUAACUAAUUUGGGUAUAUGGAAUGAAGAUUUAAAGAAUAAAAUAAUUGCUUGUAAUGGUUCUAUUCAG